UCUUGGUCAUUUAGAGGAAGUAAAAGUCGUAACAAGGUUUCCGUAGGUGAACCUGCGGAAGGAUCAUUAACGAGUAACUGAACGGGUUGUAGCUGGCCUCUCGGGGCAUGUGCACACCUGGCUCAUCCACUCUUCAACCUCUGUGCACUUGUUGUAGGUCGGCAGAAGGGCGAGCCUUAAAACAGCUCGCUUGGAAGCCUUCCUAUGUUUUACCACAAACGCUUCAGUUUAAGAAUGUAACCUGCGUAUAACGCAACUAUAUACAACUUUCAGCAACGGAUCUCUUGGCUCUCGCAUCGAUGAAGAACGCAGCGAAAUGCGAUAAGUAAUGUGAAUUGCAGAAUUCAGUGAAUCAUCGAAUCUUUGAACGCACCUUGCGCUCCCUGGUAUUCCGGGGAGCAUGCCUGUUUGAGUGUCAUGGUAUCCUCAUCCUUCAUAACUUUUUGUUAUCGAAGGCAUGGACUUGGAGGUCGUGCUGGUUCCUCGUUGAAUCGGCUCCUCUUAAAUGGAUUAGCGUGAGUGUAACGGAUCGCUUCGGUGUGAUAAUUAUCUGCGCCGUGGUCGUGAAGUAACAUAAGCUUGCGCUUCUAACCGUCCUUAAGUUGGACAACAUAACUUUGACAUCUGACCUCAAAUCAGGUAGGACUACCCGCUGAACUUAAGCAUAUCAA
rnacentral:rRNA from 1 species